rnacentral:rRNA from 1 species
GUGAUGAAUAUUGGUCAAUGGACGAGAGUCUGAACCAGCCAAGUCGCGUGAAGGAAGACGGUUCUAUGAAUUGUAAACUUCUUUUGUGCAGGAAUAAAGUGGGUUACGUGUAACCUUUUGUAUGUACUGUACGAAUAAGGAUCGGCUAACUCCGUGCCAGCAGCCGCGGUAAUACGGAGGAUCCGAGCGUUAUCCGGAUUUAUUGGGUUUAAAGGGUGCGUAGGUGGAUUGAUAAGUCAGCGGUGAAAGUUUGCAGCUUAACUGUAAAAUUGCCGUUGAAACUGUCGGUCUUGAGUGCAAAUGAGGUAGGCGGAAUGUGUUGUGUAGCGGUGAAAUGCUUAGAUAUAACACAGAACUCCGAUUGCGAAGGCAGCUUACUGGGAUGCAACUGACACUGAUGCACGAAAGCGUGGGUAUCAAACAGGAUUAGAAACCCUGGUAGUCC